rnacentral:lncRNA from 1 species
GAAUUUUCUGUAUUAACCCAUACCGAAUUUGGGGGUUUUGUUGGGAUCCACCUUCUUGUUGUGCAGAAAACCAGAUCUAAAACUGAGACCUUCAAGAUGCGAAGACCACCUGGGUCCGUCACUUCCUUCUAAUCAAUUUCUGAGCUUCCUAAACAAUAUGGGAGAGACCAAAAGAGGAAAUGGGUAACUUUGAAAUCAGAAAUUGUAGACAGAAAGGUUUGAACUUUACAGAGAGAGUGGAGAUUGAACGAACAUUGUCUGACGGAAAGUUUCUAAGCUCAAAUGACUAGCCCCAAUAAAUCACCAAAUCCCAGCAAUCAAACCCAGAAUCAUCAUCAAAAUACCCAUAACCCGCACCACCACCAAGUUUAUGGCUUCUUCUUCUUCAGAUCUGGUUGUUGCAGGCCUUGUUUCAUCCACCACCACCGCGACUUUCUUUCUCCGAUCCCGGCCAAACCACGAGUCAUAUGAAGGAACCACCACCACCAUAAUGCUCCCCUCGCCCUCCGCAACAAAACCCCCAAGUCAGAUCGUCGUUCCACCACCGCCGGCCGGCAC